AACGCGAAGAACCUUACCUGGGUUAAAUCAGUAGUGCAAAGCGCAGAGAUGCGUUCCCCCCGCAAGGGGCGCUAUUGAAGGUGCUGCAUGGCUGUCGUCAGCUCGUGUCGUGAGAUGUUGGGUUAAGUCCCGCAACGAGCGCAACCCUUACCGCUAGUUGCCAGCAUUAAGUUGGGUACUCUAGUGGAACUGCCGGUGAUAAACCGGAGGAAGGUGGGGAUGACGUCAAGUCAUCAUGGCCUCUAUGUCCAGGGCUACACACGUGCUACAAUGGCCGGUACAAACCGCCGCAAACUCGCGAGAGGGAGCCAAUCGGAAAAAGCCGGUCUCAGUUCGGAUUGGAGUCUGCAACUCGACUCCAUGAAGUUGGAAUCGCUAGUAAUCGCAGAUCAGCACGCUGCGGUGAAUACGUUCCCGGGCCUUGUACACACCGCACGA
rnacentral:rRNA from 1 species